rnacentral:rRNA from 1 species
UACGGAGGGUGCAAGCGUUAAUCGGAAUGACUGGGCGUAAAGCGCACGCAGGCGGUCUGUUAAGUUGGAUGUGAAAUCCCCGGGCUUAACCUGGGAACUGCAUUCAAAACUGACAGGCUAGAGUCUCGUAGAGGGGGGUAGAAUUCCAGGUGUAGCGGUGAAAUGCGUAGAGAUCUGGAGGAAUACCGGUGGCGAAGGCGGCCCCCUGGACGAAGACUGACGCUCAGGUGCGAAAGCGUGGGGAGCAAACAGG